ensembl:lncRNA
GGGCCCCUGGGGGGGCCCCUGGCCGGGCCGCGCGGGCCCCUGGUGCGCUCCACCCAGGAGCUGUUCCGCUCGCAGCCCGUCAUCAACCAGAGCCGGCCGGCGCCGCCCCCCCGGCCAAGCAGGAAGUCCUUCCUCCCCGUGCCGUCCUUCAGCGUCCCGCAGAGGCUCCGCAGCCUCAGCAUGGGGUCGGAGGUCACCGGCCCCUGACUGGGGUCGCAGGUCACCGGCACCCUACUGGGGUCAGAGGUCAUGGCCCCUGAAGGAGGAGGAGGAGACCAGGGGGUCAGGGGUCACUGGCUCCUGAAGGAGGAGACCAGGGGGUCAGAGGUCAACGGUCCCUGAAGGAGGAAGAGGAGGAGGAGGAGGAGACCAGGGGGUCAGAGGUCAUGGCCCCUGAAGGAGGAGGAGGAGACCAGGGGGUCAGAG